UUUUUUUUUUUUUUGUAAACAGCUUUUAUUGUUUGUGAAAAAAAAACCCAAAACAACUGUAUUGAAGGCUCUAAGAACCUGAAAUCCUUUCAGCAGCUUCAGAUUAGGUGCAUUGAGUCAUCCCCAAUGUGAGCUUCCAGUUAAAUGUGGGAAAAGAUCACCACAAUGACCUGACUAAGCAGAGAAGUAGUACUCAUACCCACUGAGAUGUUUUCUUAAGAAACAGUAAGAAAACUUUAGCUAUUGUAGACAAGCCUCAUUACUUGUGCAGGUACUUUGUGUCCUCUCUGAAUAACAGAAGUUCAUGGCUAUUUGGCUUAGAACAUUCACUACAUCUUAGAAAUAGAUUCCUGUUAUUAAAAGAGCAAUCAUCUUUCUCCAUUUCACUCUAGAAAUUCCAAAGUUAAAUGCUGUGUCAAAGAGAAGCCAUUUGCUUGGUCACUUCUUGUGCAGCAGGGAAAAACACCAAAAACAAAAAUACCAAAACAUAAGGAAUAAACCAAAUAUAUGUACUGCAAAUGAUCUGAAUAUUUAGAUUUGCUCAGUGUCCUCCUGAUCUCCUUGUUCUCAGAAGAUCCACCUGAAUGGGAGAUCUCAGCUGUGUGUUCUGGGAAGGCUGAGAAGAAUUCAUCUCUCCUGAGCUGCUGCUGUAGGUUGGCAUCACAAAAGUCUCUGAUGUUUCCCUUUGUAUGAUUCUGGCUUGGCAGGGGAGACAGGAACUUACAGAACUUCCAUUUUGCUGUUAACAUCUUACUCCAAUUGGAAAAAAAGAAUAAAUGACUUACAGAUCUCCUUAACUAUCCACUCCUGAAAUUCUAAUGACUUUUAUGAAUGUUGCUCUUUUACACUCCAGCAGGAUUACACGGUUCGUCGUGUUUUAUCAGAGCGUUACAAAUGUUGUUUUGCUGACUUCUUGAGAGAAGCUCCUCUGUCUUUUCCAUAAAUAAUUAAUGUCCCCAAAUGCUGGAUGUGGAUUCAUUAAAGCUUUAUUAUACUGUC